GCAUUGGGAGGAAUAUACCAAAUUUUAAUAGAAAUUUUUUAAGAAGAAACAGAAUCAAAUAGGAGUGUCGAAAUUCCCCAAUUUGGAUUAUGUUUGAGUCUGUCUCUGAGAAUAGAAAAAAA